UACGUAGGGAGCAAGCGUUGUCCGGAAUCAUUGGGCGUAAAGCGCGCGUAGGCGGCCCUGUAAGUCCGUUGUGAAAGUCAAAGGCUCAACCUUUGAAAGCCGAUGGAUACUGCAGGGCUAGAGUCCGGAAGAGGCGAGUGGAAUUCCUGGUGUAGCGGUGGAAUGCGCAGAUAUCAGGAGGAACACCAAUAGCGAAGGCAGCUCGCUGGGACGGUACUGACGCUAAGGCGGCGACAGCGUGGGGAGCAAACAGG
rnacentral:rRNA from 1 species